GAUGAGGUUAAAGUUGCUGGAUCCUCCCCGGCUCCUUAGGCAGGAGAUAACUACGCACUCCGGUUUGCGCCCACGAGAGAACGCGCCUCGCGCUUGCUCUUCGCAAUUUAGCCUAAGAUCGCUAGAGAGGGCGAUUUAGGGGGGGUUGGAGGCUGCAGGCUUGAGUCCCUGGAAGACCACUGUACCCUCCACCCUCGACGCUGUCCGGGUGGGCGCAGUCUCGCGCCUACCGAGGCAACCCAGGCUCGCUGCGCGCUCUGGGCGCGGUCGGGAAGGGGUUAAGCAAGGUGCCGGCGCGGGGCGCGGCGCGUGUGGAGGAGGGGAGCGGGGAAGAAAGUGAGAGCGGGGGCGGGGGGACCCGAGCGAAAGAACAUCCUGUGCCGCCGCCGGAUGCGAGAGGCGGGGGCGGGGGGAGGCAGGGCGAUGCGCUCCGCCCCGCGCUCCUCCUCCCGGGCGCUGCCCGCUCCCGCGCUUAGUACGGGUUCUUCUGGUCCCCAAGCCUUCGCGGGUCAUGAGCAGGCCAGAGGGGCCUCUCCAGUUCCCCGGCCGGGUCCUGCUGGCUGCACUUUCAGGGCCGACACAGAAAAGCUGAUUGUGGAAUUCCACAACCCUCACACUCCUGGGAUUAGAACCGGAACCGGUUGGACCGCAAGGGGCUUUUCGCUGGGCGUAGCGAAGACGCAAAACCCUUAGCUGAUAAGGCUCCCCAGAGAGGCCUCUCGGAAGUCAAGAUAGGCGCCUGCCUCCAAGCAUGCCUACCGAGUUCGAUCCCCAGGUCGCACAAAGUGAAAGGCGAGAGCCACCGAUUUACAUGAAUUGCCCUCUGACCUCCACAUCCAUGCUUGGGGGGAGCCAGGUAUGGUAGCUUUAAACCCAGAUCUCUUGUUGAAGCCGAGCUCUUGGACUACGACAAAGACUGUCUUAAAAAAACAAGUUAAAAAACAAAUGGGGGGGGGGGAGCUCUCUAUCUAGACAACGUUCUUGAUCCAAUCAGAAAGCCUCGCUAGCAGGUGCAAUGGCGUUAUUAAUGUCAGCUUUUCGAAGUACAGGUUAGCCGCAAACUGCUGAGUAAUGAUGACCCUGAACUUCUGAGCCCCCCUGCCUCGACCUCCUGAGUGCUGGGGUUACAGCAGCGCAGCCCGGUGUAUACCAGGCCCCCAACAGCGCCUGGAGCCCUAAGGACGCUGAAACACCCGUGGCCCACGCUUGGGUGAGGAGAAUGAGGAAGUAGCUUUGGAGUUCCACCGGUAGAUGAUGGGCCUUGCUGGCUGCAGCUCAGCGAAGUGGGCUCGGGGUGUGUACCGGUGAUUUGUCGCUAGUGGGGGCAUUGAGGACGGUUAGGCUUGCUGCCUGGGCUAGGACCGCGAGGAACCUCAUCCGGAUCAGUCAGUGUGCGAUCAGUCAGUGUGCGACACACUGCUUAGGGCACAGGUGAAGCCUCCACGGGCGACUCCACCCAGUGGGUCUCGGACCCUUCCCACAGUGGACAAUGUCAGCUAAACUGACCUGCAAGGAACACCUGGAUGAUAUCAACCCCAGAAGUGGAAAAGCUACGACGGGGGCUGGGGCGGGCUGUAACUCAGUUGGUAGGGCCCUUCCAAGCAUGUGGCAAGCCCUGAGUUCAGUCUCCAGCUCCAAAUAAAGUAGGAACGACGCACUGCACUCCGGAAUCCUAGCAACUCGAGGUAGCGCUGGGAAUGCAGGGUCAUCCUCAACUAUGUAAACAUAGUUUGAGGCCAGCCUACGCUACCUGUCUCAAAAGCGGACAGGGAGGUGCACUGGCUGGUUUUGUGCGUCAACUUGACACAAGCUGGAGUUUUCAUAGAGAAAGCCUCCCUUGAGGAAAUGCCUCCAUGAGAUCCAGCUGUAAUGCAGUUUCUCAGUUAGUGAUCAAGGGUGGGAGGGCCUGGCUCAUGGUGGGUGGAGCCAUCCCUGGGCUGGUGGUCCUGGGUUCUGUAAGAGAGCAAGCUGGGCAAGCCAGGGGAAGCAAGCCAGUAAGCAGCACCCCUCCAUGGCCUCUGCAUCAGCUCCUGCCUCCAGGUCCCUGCCCUGUGUGAGUUCCAGUCCCGACUUCCUUUGGUGAUGAACAGCAAUGUGGAAAUGUAAGCUGAAUAAACCCUUUCCUCCCCA